GAGGGUGUAGCUCCAAUAGAUAGAGCGGCAGGCCUGCUAAGUCUGCGUCACAGUAUAUGGCCGCUAAUGCGGUUGUGCGGGUAAGAACCCCGUCAUCCUCGCCA
rnacentral:tRNA from 1 species